GGAGGACAGGAGAGGACUGGGCGUCAACAGCAAACCAGAGGGAGUCUGGAGAGACAGCGAGAGAGGAGUAGAGGAGGCCCCAGAGUUUGGCGACUUCUUCCGAUUUGAGCAGCUUGAACUCGCCGUCGUUGGACGUCCAGCAAAUCAGGUUUCGAACAGGAAGUGGUGAAGAGGGAGAGGCCAGAGCAACAGUCGUACAAACACGACCACAUUAAAGAAUUCUGCGUUCGUGCUCCUGAAUUCAUCCUCUCUCUUUAAUUUCCCCUUUUCCCUCUGCACUCACAAAAAACGUCAUUCCUAUGUGCCCUCCCACAAACUCUGCAAGCAUUUCCUGUUCUGUUGUACAUUAACGCACAGGCUCAAAAACAACAAAGAGCUAUAAGCCAGAAAGACUGACACGGGAAUGAAUCGCAAAUAAGCAACAUGUUCCAACAUCGACCGUGCCGCUGUCCUCUCUGGGACGGAGGUGUCCGCUCAAAGGUGGGCAAAUACACCCACUGGUGAACAGAGAUUACUAACCGGGUAAACAUGGAGUUUAUCCGCAAAACCCUGUUUAGGAACAUAGAUUAGAGUGACCAGAGAUAAGUGGGUUAAGGGGGGAAUUCUUAAAGGUAUAGGUCACCUAAAAAUGUAAAUUCAGUUCUGUCAUUUACACUACCAUUCAAAUGUU